AUGAAAUUCUAUUAUACCAAAGGGACUCGGUAAAGGCGAAGGCAGCCCUCUAUGUAAAAACUGACGUUGAAGGACGAAGGCACAGAGCACAAACAGGAUUAGAUACCCAAGUAGUCUUUGCAGUAAAUGAUGAAUGUCAUAGGUUAGAUUAAGCUUUAAUUAAUUAGUUUAUCAGUAAUGAACUAACUAUUAAACAAUAUUUAGUCUAUAAAUGAAAGUGAAAGCAUUCCACCUCAAGAGUAAUGUGGCAACGCAGGAACUGAAAUCACUAGACCGUUUCUGACACCAGUAGUGAAGUAUGUUGUUUAAUUCGAUGAUCCACGAAAAACCUUACCACAAUUUGAAUAUUUUACAGGAGUUGCACGGCUGUUUUCAGUUAAUGUUGUGAAACUGUGGUUUCCAUGAAAUUAACGCAAUCCCUGGCUUUAUUUUUUUUUUUAUUACGAUAAAGCAUUUGAUCCAGGAUUUGGAAAGAAAAAGGGGACAAAGACAAGUCAUCAUGGCCUUGAUAUUGUGGGCUAUAGACGUGCCACAUAUUCCUACACAAAGAGAUGCAAAAAUGUGAAUUUAAGCUAAUCUCUAAAAAUAGGAUAUAAAUUUUAAGGAUUAUAGUCUGAAACUCGACUAUAUGAAUAAGUAAUUACUAGUAAUCGUGAAUCACCAUGUCACGGUGAAUUUACCUUGGAUUGGUACUAACCACUCGUCACAUGCUGAAAAGAGCAUGCGCAAUAAGUUUGCUUUCUUGAUGAUCAGUAAAAAGAAUAACCAGGUUCUAUAUUCUAUUAUUAAG
rnacentral:rRNA from 1 species